UUUAAUACAUGCUUCAUAACUUGAUAAUCACAAAAGUUUGAGAAAAUUUUUUAUAUUGAUUACUAACCCAACUCUUCUCCUUUAUCCUAGCUAGCUACCCAACAUUAAAAAGGGAAACUCUCGACGUCCAUACAUAUACAUACAUGCAUAUAAAUAAGUAGAGAACAUUGCCAUCCUCAAUUUCAUUUUUUAAAAUUUUAAAAGCCAAAGAGGAAAAUAAACGCCUGAUUUCACCAGCAACUUGGGUAAAAAGAAUAACACCUUUCUUCUAAACAAAGAUGGUUGAAAAUUGCCUGCUCAAGUAUUUGUAACUUCUUCCGUUAUUUGUUUUAUUCUCUCAUCUAUCUCCCUGAUCUUCAUGGGGGGUGGUCUGGCUGUGCGAGAGGGAUGACAAAUGUGGAGAGCCCAAUCUUUUAAGCACAAGACAGGGUGAAUUCCAUCAAACCCACUUUUCAGGAUCCAGACUCAUUUAUGAUUUUCGUACUUCUCAGAAGCGGGCUGGGGCUUGUGGAACAGAACGUGGCCAGGGGCAGGGCUCCAAGUUAGAGGCACCAAUGUUUUGAAGUCCAACAAAUGCCACCAAGGGUAGGAAUCAGUCCUCAGUUGGUUUAUUAGCUUAUUUAAGAAAAGUAGGGUUGAUUUUGGUAAAUACCAAGUACAAUUGUUUACAUAAUAAUUUAAAGUAACCUUCUCCAAUCCCCAACAUGAGAGUAUUCCUCUAAUACAAUGGGUCUUAUAAGUAACUAUUUUCAUUCUUAUAAUAUAUUUUUGCUUUCCUCUUGUUAUUGUGUUCUUAUGCAAGAGCGACUAACUGUGACUUGAAAUCUCUUUUUCUUAGUCUCAAUUUGCAAUGAACCCCUUGGUAUGCUAAUAUCACAGAAGCUUCCUUCAACACCUUUUUUUGUUUUCCGCCAACCAUUACCAUAUCCAUAUUGAUUAUUGAACUAUCCUCUUAUAGUGUUUCCACAUGGCGUAGAAGGCAAAGGCGUCCCUCUCUUUGCCAUUUCACAGGCCUUUAAUCCAAUAAUACUAUACAAUAUCGACAACCCAAAUUGCUCCAUCCUUCAUCUCUAAGUUUGAACAGCUAAGCACGCUUGUGCAUUUUCUUCCCACUGUUCAUAAUACUACUACUUUCCUCCAAAUGAUUGUUUAUUCUUUCUUUCCUUAAAGUCGGCAUUGAUAAAUUUUUAGCAUUCCUUCUACAACAAGGUUCAAUAUUAAAAAAGAUAGAUUCUCUAUGUAAACAGAUAAAAUCUAAUGGAUCACCAAAUUCUACGGUUCACCAGACACACAGCUGUGUAUUUCCGUGCCCCUUUGCCAUAGGCAGGAAGGUUUCAACCAAGCAGGUUUCACAACCUCUCCCGACCCCUUCCUUUUCCUUUUAUCCAACAAGAAUCCAUCAAUAUACGGGCUAAGUCAAUUUUGCAAACAACUUUAGGUAGGUGCUUACCUGUUAAGGUAACAGCCAGCAGAAGAUUGCGAAAGAGGCGUAACAUGGAACAAAUGCACAUGGUCAAGAACAAAUGCACGUGGUUUAUACCCACCAUUAUAUGGAUAUAACAUCAGCCAGACAUCCAAAGAACUAAACAAAACUAUUUUUCAAAAUAAACUGUGAUAAUAUAGUUUUGCUAAUUAUAUACAGGAAUUGAAUGAGAAGGAUUGACAAUGAUGGAGUAGAUCCUUCGGGGACCCCAGAAUAUUGACAGCAGAAGAUUUAGAAGAGAGCUGGAAAGAGGAAG
rnacentral:lncRNA from 1 species